AAUACAGCUGGUUGAAGAGGUCUGAGUCUCAUCAGCAGUCAAACAUGUCAGACACGGUGGUGUGUGUUAACGAUUAUGAGCUUCAAGCUCAAAGACUUUUGCCAAAGUCAGUGUUUGAUUAUUAUUUCUCAGGAGCAGACGAGCAGGAAACUCUGCGUGAUAAUGUAGCAGCUUUCUCCAGGUGGUGCUUUUACCCUCGUGUGCUCAGAGACGUGUCCGCAGUGGACAUGUCCACCACAGUUCUGGGUCAGAGAGUCAGUAUGCCCAUCUGUGUGGCACCGACCGCCAUGCAGCGAAUGGCCCAUCCCGACGGAGAGACGGCCACUGCCAGAGCCUGCCUGUCCUGCGACACGGGGAUGAUGUUGAGCUCGUGGGCCACCUCCACCAUAGAGGAAGUAGCGGAGGCCGCACCUGGGGCCGUGCGCUGGAUGCAGCUGUACAUUUAUAAAGACCGAGCGCUGACUCAGUCUCUGGUCAGGAGGGCAGAGGAGGCUGGGUAUAAGGGUAUCUUUGUCACAGUGGACACACCUUAUCUUGGCAGGCGACGUGAUGACGUGCGCAACCGAUUUAAGCUGCCCUCUCAUUUGAGGAUGGCCAAUUUCGAAUCCCCUGAUUUAGCAUUCUCCUCAAAAGAGGGUUAUGGGGAGGACAGUGGCCUGGCGGUGUACGUAACUCAGGCCAUAGAUGCCACGGUCAAAUGGGACGACAUCGCCUGGCUGAAGAGACUGACCUCCCUGCCGGUGGUGGUCAAAGGGGUUUUGACAGCUGAAGAUGCCAAAGAAGCUCUGAAGUAUGGCGUGGAUGGAAUACUUGUGUCAAACCACGGAGCAAGACAACUCGAUGGUGUUCCAGCCACCAUUGACGCUUUGCCUGAGGUUGUGGAGGCUGUUGAAGGAAAGGUGGAGGUCUUCAUGGAUGGAGGGAUCCGCAAGGGCACGGAUGUGCUGAAGGCUCUGGCGCUGGGAGCGAAGGCUGUUUUUGUAGGGAGACCUGUCCUGUGGGCACUUGCCUGUGAGGGUGACAAAGGAGUCGCUAAUGUUCUCCAGUUACUGCGAGAGGAACUUCACCUUGCAUUGGCGCUUACCGGAUGUCGCUCACUGAAGGAAGUCAAUAGAUCCCUUUUGAGAAGAUCUGAACUCAUUUCAAGGAUCUAAUGAGCAGAACUACUGCAUGCUGGGGGAUUUCAUGUGUGCCAGUGACUGGACCGACUUGUGUAAUUCAAAUGAACCCAGAGGAUUUGGGCACGACAGAUUUAGCAUCAUGAAUAAAACAUUUGUUAAUAGUCAGUUGGCUGUGAACAGGUUCCCUGCUGUACGUCACUGCAGCGACUUUCUCAUGAAUAUGCAUAAACUCCCUUGACGGGGCCCGAAAGGCAAACAGGUUUGUGAGAGGUUCAGAAAGGUCACACACAAGGCAUGGGAUUUCUUUACUAGCUCUUUCCAUGGCUGAACCACAGGACCUGAAUGAAGCCAUUAUAUGCAUUGACUCUCCACAGGAAAACAAACUUUGUCAGGGCUCUGUUCAUUAGUACCUAACACUUUGUUUGAACCGCCUACUUGUGCAGGGGCCAGAAAGGGGAAGUGAACUCCUGCUGAAAUCAAACAAAACCUACAGUUUAUGAGAUUUUAAGAGGUUUUGCAUUGUUUGCAUGCAACCUGGAUACUUAGAUGAUAAAUAUAGCGGGCCCCAAUUUCACCAUGUAUUUGCAUUAGAUAAAAAAUAUAUAUA